AGCGAACGCUGGCGGCAGGCCUAACACAUGCAAGUCGAACGAACCUUUCGGGGUUAGUGGCGGACGGGUGGGUAACACGUGGGAACGUGCCUUUAGGUUCGGAAUAACUCAGGGAAACUUGUGCUAAUACCGAAUGUGCCCUUCGGGGGAAAGAUUUAUCGCCUUUAGAGCGGCCCGCGUCUGAUUAGCUAGUUGGUUGAGGUAAUGGCUCACCAAGGCGACGAUCAGUAGCUGGUCUGAGAGGAUGAUCAGCCACAUUGGGACUGAGACACGGCCCAAACUCCUACGGGAGGCAGCAGUGGGGAAUCUUGCGAAAUGGGCGAAAGCAUGAAGCAGCCAUGACGGGUGAAUGAUGAAGGUCUUAGGAUUGUAAAAUUAUUUCACCGGGGACGAUAAUGACGGUACCAGGAGAAGAAGCCCCGGCUAACUUCGUG
rnacentral:rRNA from 1 species